AUGAACGCUGGCGGCGUGCCUAAUACAUGCAAGUCGAGCGGUAAGGCCCUUCGGGGUACACGAGCGGCGAACGGCUGAGUAACGCGUGGGAAUUCACCCCAAAGUGAGGGAUAAGCAUCGGAAACGGUGUCUAAUACCGCAUAUGGUCUUCGGAUUAAAGUUUUAUACGCUUUGGGAGAAGCCCGCGUACGAUUAGAUAGUUGGUGAGGUAAUGGCUCACCAAGUCUACGAUCGUUAGCUGGUCUGAGAGGAUGAUCAGCCAGACUGGAACUGAGACACGGUCCAGACUCCUACGGGAGGCAGCAGUAAGGAAUCUUCCACAAUGGACGAAAGUCUGAUGGAGCAACGCCGCGUGCAGGAUGAAGGCUUUCGGGUCGUAAACUGCUUUUGUUAGCGAAGAAUUUGACGGUAACUAACGAAUAAGGAUCGGCUAACUCCGU
rnacentral:rRNA from 1 species